UUACGACCAUAUCAUGUUGAAACAUCAGUUUUCGUACGAUUACCGACGUCAAGCAAUGUUGAUCCCGGUCAGUAACUAGAUGGGUGACCGCUUGGGAAUAUCAUAUGCUGCAAG